rnacentral:rRNA from 1 species
GAUGAACGCUGGCGGCGUGCCUAAUACAUGCAAGUCGAGCGAACGGACGAGAAGCUUGCUUCUCUGAUGUUAGCGGCGGACGGGUGAGUAACACGUGGAUAACCUACCUAUAAGACUGGGAUAACUUCGGGAAACCGGAGCUAAUACCGGAUGAUAUUUUGAACCGCAUGGUUCAAAAGUGAAAGACGGUCUUGCUGUCACUUAUAGAUGGAUCCGCGCUGCAUUAGCUAGUUGGUAAGGUAACGGCUUACCAAGGCAACGAUGCAUAGCCGACCUGAGAGGGGGAUCGGCCCCACUGGAACUGAGAAACGGUCCAGACUCCUACGGGAGGCAGCAGUAGGGAAUCUUCCGCAAUGGGCGAAAGCCUGACGGAGCAACGCCGCGUGAGUGAUGAAGGUCUUCGGAUCGUAAAACUCUGUUAUUAGGGAAGAACAUAUGUGUAAGUAACUGUGCACAUCUUGACGGUACCUAAUCAGAAAGCCACGGCUAACUACGUG